CUUCACCGAACCCAGCAGCAACGGCGCCGAGUCACCCCGGUCCUGCCCGUACGUGGCCAGCAACGCCUGCGCCUC
rnacentral:antisense_RNA from 1 species